AUGCGAAGAUAUCUAGGAGAAGGCCCGGUGGCGAAAGCGACUCUCUGGUCUGUUACUGACGCUGAGGUGCGAGAGCGCAGGUAGCGAACGGGAUUAGAUACCCCGGUAGUCUGUGCCGUAAACGAUGGGCACUAGAUGGUGGAGGCGCCGAUAGCUUUCUCCGUCGCAGCUAAUACGUUAAGUGCCCCGCCUGGGGAGUAUGGCCGCAAGGUUAAAACUCAAAGGAAUUGACGGGGGCCCACACAAGCGGUGGAGGAUGUGGCUUAAUUCGAGGAUACCCGUAAAACCUUACCGAGGCUUGACAUGCAGGUGGUAGUGAAGUGAAAGCGGAACGACCCGAAUAGGGAGCCUGCACAGGUGCUGCAUGGCUGUCGACAGCUCGUGUCGUGAGAUGUUAGGUUAAGUCCUGUAACGAGCGAAACCCUUGUGCUUAAUUGCCAGCGCGUUAUGGCGGGGACCUUAAGCAGACUGCCCCGGCCAACGGGGAGGAAGGUGGGGAUGACGUCAAGUCAGCAUGGCCUUUAUGCCUCGGGCUGCACACGUCCUACAAUGGGCUGUACAAUGGGGACCCAAACCGCAAGGUGGAGGAAAUCCUAUAAAGCAGUCCUCAGUUCGGAUUGCAGGCUGAAAUUCGCCUGCAUGGAGAUGGAAUCGCUAGUAAUCGCCGGUCAGCAUACGGCGGUGAAUACGUCCCUGGGCCUUGUACACACCGCCCGUCAAGCCACCCGAGUUGGGAGCACCCGAAAUCCGAGACUUAACCGCAAGGAUGGCUCGGCUGAAGGUGAAUCCGAUAAGGUGGACUAAGUCGUAACAAGGUAACCAAGGGCGAA
rnacentral:rRNA from 1 species